GGGGGUGUAGCUCAGAGGUAGAGCGCUCGCUUUGCAUGCGAGAAGUCCCGGGUUCGAACCCCGGCAUCUCCA
rnacentral:tRNA from 1 species